GGGAGACUGGCCUAACAGGGGUAACUGGUCUCCCAAGAUUGCAGGCAGCCUGCAGAUGGAUCCCUCCACUGUGGCAGGGGCACCAGCAAGUCUAUUUCAGAACUCCUAGACAGACAUUUUCCAUAGGGUAAAAACUGAUGGACAGUAUCAUAGAAUUGGGAGAAAUAACCAAAUGACUCUACCUUAUGAAGAGACUGAAAAGAAAAAAGGUCAUAUUACUUCCAUGAAUCUUUCGAGGCAAGCGUGUGUCGCCCAAAAGGAGAACUACUGAUCAGCUCACUGCAGUGUUAUUGGCUCCACUUAAGAGUCUCAGUUCUGCUGCUGCUCUCUUGAUUCCCCACCAGCAGUAUAAGGUGGAUUAGACUGUAGAUCCAGGUGCUCAGUCAUUUUUCUAGACUGGGUCAGCAAGGGUUGCUGCAUGCCGUGUUUCUCAUGAAGAACAGUUUUACAGUACUGGGUAAACAGUGAGAUUUACCACAUUAUCUACACACCUUUGUGCAGCUCUCUGUAUUUUUCCAUCAAGCUUCCUUAGCAGUGCUAAAAUCCAGAUUUCAUGCAUGUAAAUCUUUCCAUUUUGUUAGAGAGAUGCCAAUUUGACUCUAGAAUUUUUGGCUGCAUUUUUAAAAUAAAGGUUCUGCAGAAAUCCUGCUAAAGAAGGAGAUGGUACAGAAUGCAAUGCUUUGCUGAUCACUGUGCUUUAUGUGCAGAAUAAAGAAAUCAUCCCUUUUCAUGUAAUAAA